UCCUUGGUGGUCUAGUGGUAGGAUUCAGUGCUCUCACCACUGCAGCCCAGGCUCGAUUCCUGGUCAGGGAA
rfam:TPA: Bos taurus chromosome 15, whole genome shotgun sequence.